AUUGAACGCUGGCGGCAUGCUUUACACAUGCAAGUCGAACGGCAACGAGGAGAAGCUUGCUUCUCUGUCGGCGAGUGGCGAACGGGUGAGUAUAGCAUCGGAGCGUGCCAAGUAGUGGGGGAUAACCAAACGAAAGUUUGGCUAAUACCGCGUAAGCUCCAAGGAGGAAAGUAGGGGACCUAAAUAAGGCCUUACGCUAUUUGAUCGGCCGAUGUCGGAUUAGCUAGUUGGUGGGGUAAUGGCUCACCAAGGCAAUGAUCCGUAGCGGGUCUGAGAGGACGAUCCGCCACACUGGGACUGAGACACGGCCCAGACUCCUACGGGAGGCAGCAGUGGGGAAUUUUGGACAAUGGGGGAAACCCUGAUCCAGCCAUGCCGCGUGUAUGAAGAAGGCCUUAGGGUUGUAAAGUACUUUUGUUAGGGAAGAAAAGCUAGUUUUUAAUAAAAAUUAGUGAUGACGGUACCUAAAGAAUAAGCACCGGCUAACUACGUG
rnacentral:rRNA from 1 species